UUUUAUUCUCUUUUAUAAUGGUGGAGGUUUUGCUUUUUGGGUCUAAUUAUAAAUAAGGCCUGGUGGCUCCUUUUCUGUUUCUCUGAGAGGUUCUCUGACUACGUGGUAUUUGCGCCUCGAGACUGCACUACUACGCCAAGUAAGUAAUGCUCUCAUAGGCCAAUGAUCGACCGAGGUUUGCUACGCUGCCUUCUCUUUGCUUCUUAUUCGUUGGAGUUGCUAUUGUCCUUCUACUACUUUCCUGAUCUUGCAUUUAUGGCGUUGCAUGUUUGUUUCAAUGGUUUCUACUGUUUUUCCUGUUGCUAUUGUGGUCUGUCGUGGUGCUGAUUUGAUGGCUGUUGAUUUUUGAGUUCGGUAUCUCAUGUGGUGGAAACGGUGCGUCGAUUGUGCAGCGUUGGUAAAUGUUUGGUUUGUUUCUAGGCUGUCUUGUGGGUUUGGGACGUGUCUGAGUUGCUUUGAGCUGUGUAUUCUGAGUUUUUUGGCUGACUUUUGGAUUUGAGUUAUGGUUGCUCGGAUUGCACCUCUAUUUUCUGUAAAUCAGAAAAAUGGAUUUCAAAGUCUUUCCCCUCAUUGCCUAUGUAUAGAGAAGAUCACCAGCCAAGUUAUAAGCUUGGUGAGUCAAUUGAUAAAUCAUGUUACUGGGUCUUAGAAUUUAGAAGUUUUGAGAGCAAACUUCAGAGAGGAGGAAGUGAAAAAUAUUUUCUCUGCUCCUUUGAGCUGGGGGGGGAUAAAUUCAAAUGGCCAAUCUUCUCGAGGAAAUCCUGAAACUAGUUCUACCACUAUAAUGAAUUCUUUCUGGAAAAUGAUAUGGAAGAUAAAAGGUACCAUCAAAACUACUCAUUUUUCACAUGUUAUUGCUUAAAGACAAACUCCCUACCAAUGUCAAUAUGAAUCUUCAUGUGGACCAGUUUGAUCUGUCUUGUGUUUUCCGUGGGGGCUUUGAAACCUCCUCUCACUUUUUCUUUACCUGUCUUAGGGUGGUGGCCUUUUGGAGUUAUUCCCUCCUUUCUUAAGGAUUUAUGGGAGUCCAUUGUUUUAAUGGCAAAAAAUAUAGAGGAUGGUGAUAAUCUUAUACAAAUGAUUAUUUUCCUCCUUUGGCACCUUUGUUUUUAGAAAGGAGAAACAAGAUGACCAACAGGUUUUACAAAUGGCUGUGCAACAUUUAGAGUUCAAUCUGGCAAAUGAAGAAGCUUUGUAUCCAGAGGGUGCUGCAUUAGUGAGUGCUAAUCAAGCUCAAGAUUGGAAUCCCCUAGAACCUGGUGACGACGUUGAGUCAUCUGGGUCCUGAGUCUACACCAGUGAAUAUUGUCCGCUUUGGCUCAAGGCCGCACGGUUUUGCUUAAAACGCGUCCACUAGGGUUUCAAGGGCAGAGACUUAUAAAGCCUUCUCCCUUUCAACCUCUUUUCGAUAUGGGAUACCUAUGAUCCAGGGUUCUUUCUCCCCCAUACAGGCCUGAGCGAUACAGGCCUGAGCGUGCUCGCUCAACGCACCGUACUCAUGAGGACCAGGUUAUUUUCCCACAGACGGCACCAAUUGAUGAUUUCUGAGUUCAACUCACCCCAGUCUAGGGCCAAGCCCAAGAAAAUAGCCCAUUACUUAGAGAUCCUCAAGCCACUCACGCCAAUUGGGUCCAGUCCGCUCAGCCUCACGACCGGGCUUCAUCUGGCUUUCUCCACCAGGCCGGCCUCGUCUUCAUUACACCUCGGGCCGAUCUCAUUUGGGCCCUGCUUUGUUCCUAUUCUCCGGUCCAGUCCGUAACCCGAAGGAGGAUUCAUCCAUCCGCCUGGCAGACCCGCCUACCCGCACACAGAGAGAAUCAGAGACCGUUGCGCAUGGGACAGAGAUCUGAUUCCUUCGUACGUCCGUAUCAGCGUAGCAGGGACAGGUGGUCUAAUGAUAUUCGUUCUGUUGGCACAUCACUAGCAGACAAAAGGAAACCUAUAAAAGGAGAAAUACUCGCCUCUAGGUUUAAGCUUUUCCUAAAUUUUACAGAGCCCAUUGUAAAAACCCUAUUUUCUGGAUCUCAGAUCAUCAAUUGGCGCCGUCUGUGGGAAAAUAACCUGGUCCUCAUGAGUACGGUGUGUUGAGCGAGCACGCUCAGGCCUGUAUGGGGGAGAAAGAACCCUACGCAGGUGGAGGUGGAUCAUAGGUAUCCCACAUCGGAAAGAGGUUGAAAGGGAGAAGGCCUUAUAAGUCUCUGCCCUUGAAACCCAGUGGACGCGUUUUAAGCAAAACCGUGCGGCCUUGAGCCAAAGCGGACAAUAUUCACUGGUGUAAACUCAGGACCCAGAUGACUCAACAUCAUCACCUGGAAUCAUUAAAAUUAAUUUUGAUACAUAUCACUGAUCCUCUUGUGCUUGAAUGUCUAGCAUGCAGAGAUAAUGUCUAAAUGGCCGUCAACAAUGGGUUCCAGACUGUGGUGGUUGAAUGAGACUGCCAAGUGGUUAUUCAGGCAUUGAAAAGUUCUUAUUGUCCUAUUUUAAUUAAAGAUCUAAUCCAAGAUAUCAAGCAUCUAGCUCUGAACAUAGCCUCUGUCUCCGUUAACCAUAUUCGAAGGCUAACAAAUUUUGUCUUUUAAGGGAUCUUAUCAUUGUAAUCCUAGUAGUAUAGUAUUUUUAAUUGGGUUGAUUGUAAAAAAAAAAAAAUUAUUUUACAAUUUAUGUAGCCAA
rnacentral:lncRNA from 1 species